UCCGUAAUUCACUGUCAGCGCUGUAAGCGUGACGUCAUUGCAGCGCUGAUACAGACUGGGUUCGGGAAGCACGCUUUUAGCGCUAUGAGCGUGCUCUAUCUUUGUUCAACUUCAAUAAAUAACAAAGAUAGAGCACGCUCGUAGCGCUAAAAGCGUGCUCUCCGAACCCAGUCACAGACGUUCCGUUUUUAAAAAUGCACUAUGGCGCAAAAUAGAGAAAACGGAACGGAGAUUGAGUACUGUACAGUUUGACAACAAAAGUAUGAACGUAUAUCGGCUGCGUAUAAAAAAUAAAAUAUGGAAAAAGCUACAAUAACUAUUACUAAUAAUAUUGCACAGAUUAUCGUGGAAACAAGUACCUCAAGUGAAUCUGACAAUGAUCCAGAUGGAUUAGAGGAACUUGUGGCAAUAUUAAAAGGACAAAGAACAAAUUAUGUGCCAAGAAUUCGAUGUUACGUCAUACUGAAAUACAUUUUAUUUUAUAUUAGAAUUAAUAACGCCCUUACUAGAAAAAAAUGGAAAAUUUGGUAGAUUUUCGAUCUUUCCUGAAAAGCAAUUAUUACUUUCUCUUUGGGUGAUAGAUGCAUAAGUGAUCGCUUUGAUGUUGGCAAAGCAACAGCAUGGAGAGCUGUUCGAAGAGUUGUCAAUGCUCUCUAUUCACUUCUUCAUACGUUUAUUAAGUGGCCGACAAGAGAAGAAGAACAUGGAAUAUUGUAAAAGAUAAAUGUGGUUUUCCAAAGGUAAUUGGAGCUAUUGAUGGAACACAUAUACGUAUUGCAGUACCCAAGAUUCAUCCUGAAUACAUACAUCAAUAGAAAAGGCUAUCACUCAAUUACAGAUUAUAUGUGAUUCUGACCUAAAAUUUAUACAUUGUUAUACUGGGCAAGUGGGAUCUGUGCAUGAUGCCAGAGUUUUUAAAUUAUCAAGAGUUUAUGAUUUAUGUGAAAACUACUUUUAUGAUAACAGUCAUAUAUUAGGUGAUGCAGCAUAUACAAUUGAUCCUUAUUAUUGAUCGUUAUGGUUCCUUAUAAAGAUAAUGGGCAUCUAACUGAAUCUCAAAUAAAAUAUAAUAUGUGUCAUGCACAAGGUUGAAUAAUGAUAGAGAGAGCAUUUUUUACUCAAAGGUAGAUUCCGCAGCAUAUUAGAUAAGUUACCUAUGACCAGAACAGAUUUGAUACCAAAAUACACAAUUGUGUAUUGCAUUUUGCAAAAUAUUUGUAUAUUACAAAAAGAUUUCAUCGAAAUUCCAUUUAUAGUUAAUGAACCGCAAUUUAUUUUACAUAAUGAUAUUAACAACAUUGAAAGAAAAAAUCAAGGAAUAGAGAAACGAAAUACAAUUACGUACUCAUUAAUGCAUGGAAAUAUAUAAACUAUAAUAAAAA